UGACUGUAGUAAGGUAGCAUAAUCAUUAGUCUUUUUAUUGUAGACUGGGAUGAAGGGUAAUAUCCAGGAAGAAUGUUUUAUUUAUUUAAUUUGAAUUUAAAUUAAAAGUAAAAAUGCUUUUUAUUAAUCUUUAGGACGAUAAGACCCUAGAAGUUUUAUAUUAUAUAUAUAUAUAUAUAUAUUUAGUUGGGGUGACUAAUGAAGAUUUGGAACUUUAUAGUACUUGAAGGGAGGAGGUAAUUACUCUAGGGAUAACAGCGUUAUUUAGUUUUUAAGU
rnacentral:rRNA from 1 species